UACCAGCACCCCGAGUGGUCGGGACGAUUAUUGGGCCUAAAGCAUCCGUAGCCGGUUCUACAAGUCUUCCGUUAAAUCCACCUGCUUAACAGAUGGGCUGCGGAGGAUACUAUGGAGCUAGGAGGCGGGAGAGGCAAGCGGUACUUAGUGGGUAGGGGUAAAAUCCGUUGAUCCAUUGAAGACCACCAUGUGGCAGAAGGCGGCUUGCCAGAACGCA
rnacentral:rRNA from 1 species